AGACGUAGAGAACGGACUGCAGAGUUAAUAAACGUCGAGGGGAAGCUUUGAUGCGCCCCAUUUGGCCCUGAGAGAUGCCACGUGAUCGUCAUUUUAAAUCCUUUCCUGGGCUUCCCGAUGGACUCGAGUUUUUACUAUGUGAGCAUCCCGGUGCCUGCACAGCAAGGACUCUCAUUGGGUUCCACACGUGCUGCGCAGAUCCCUGACGCAGCGUUCACUGAACCUCAACUGCAGGAGCUUCAUUCCUGAGGACGCUGUUACCAAGAAUGACUUGCCUCUUGAAGAAUGAGUUUGCAAAGCCGGCAGUUAGAUUGCUGAUGUCCAAAGACAUGAAAAUUUCCAGGCUGACAAAUAAUUUCGCUGUCAUCGGUCAAGACUCCAGGAUGAUAUUCUGAGCCAUAUGUUAAUUUUGAUAACCACCUAGAACAAUAAAAGGUAAACAUGCUACCAUCUUCUAUUCUCAUUGCACCACUGGAUUCUGGUACAUCUAAAAAUUGUACUUAAAUGAUAUCCAAGAAAUGCUGUAAAAAACAAAAUAGGGCCGGGCGCAGUGGCUCACACCUGUAAUCCCAGCAUUUUGGGAGGCCAAGGCGGGCAGAUCACGAGGUCAGGAGAUCAAGACCAUCCUGGCUAACACGGUGAAACCCCGUCUCUACUAAAAAUACAAAAAAAAAAAAAAUUAGCCGGGCAUGGUUGUGGGUGCCUGUAGUUCCAGCUACUCAGGAGGCUGAGGCAGGAGAAUGACGUGAACCCGGGAGGCGGAGGUUGCAGUGAGCUGAGACCGCGCCACUGCACUCCAGCCUGGGCGACAGAGCAAGACUCUGUCUCAAAAUAAAUAAAUAAAUAAAAGAAUGGGCUUUUCUGUUAUUAAUUCCAUUUUAUACAUGGUGAGACUGAAAUGCAAGAUAAAGGACUGGACUGAAGCUAAACAAACCUGCACUGGGCGAGGUUGAAAAAGACCUUUUUAAUCUAUAAGUCGGUUUUUGAAAAUUCAAGUUUCUACUUUAUAAUUUUAGUUUUCCUUUUAAACGUAUAUUAUUGUUAGUUGCACUGUUCAAAAAGUUUUACAGCUUCUAUUUCAAUCAGCACUGGUAUACUAAUAUUUUUAAGUAUCUCCUAUCUAAAACCAAAAUCUACGUAAAACCUAAAAGUACCAGGUAAUAGAGGACAACAGAGCAAGACUGUCUCUUAAAAAAAGAAGUAUCACAUAAUAGGAAUAAAUAUGAGGACAGAAAGUAAUAAUAUUUUUGAAUUUCUGAUUAAACUUUGCACUUACUUUAAAAUUUUUUUCGAAAUAUUAUGAAAACCAGGUUCUGAGACCAGCCACAUGAAAUAAACCUUUUCCUGCCCCAAUUUUCACAGCCUCUAGAAAAUAGUAGGUACCAGGGAAAAGAUUAAUACAUCUAAAAAAAAAAAGAUACAAAUAUAUCAACUAUGUUUAACUAUAUCAACUAUAUUUAGUACCCUAGGUCAUUUAAUUUUCUAGCCACCAAUAAAUUCCAUAUUUUAUUAAAUUAAUCAAAUUUUGAAAAGUGUCAAUAUUACUGUAUAAAUCAUCUUACAAGUCCUUUUAGUAGAUAUAUCAAUUUAGAGGAUGGUCUUUAGCAAAAAAAGUAAAGGAAAAGGAUUUAAUAAAGGUCCAAUAGCAGACCUUCUAGGGCAGGCAGCCUUCUAUAGUAGCCCAUGCAUGUGAAAGUUAAUCUAAUUAGUUGAUCUAUAAAGUUAAAUAACCAAACUCUCCUUUGCUUAACCCAUUGCUAGAAAGGCCAGUGUUGUUAAUUUCAUUUUUUAAACAAACAAGCAAAAAAAAUUCUAGAGGAUGAGUUUUUCAUAAGUAGGGUAUGUGCUACUUUAUUGGAAAAUGAAGAAAUAUAUCUUUCAACUCUGCUUCCUUCAUUGCUUUCCCGUGUUCCUAAUAUUUAGUCACAUUUUAGGUUAGAACUUUCAGGAAGUGAGUUUUUACACAGAAAUUAGUGCUAUAAACAGCCCUUAAAAUGGGAAUUUAAUCGUACUUAUUUAAAAUAUAUAUGUAUAUAAUCUUACCAACCCAGAAAGACAUGUUCUCUGGCAUUUUAUAAACUAAGAUGCUACUGGAAGGAAAAAGCUAAAUCUGAAAUACACAAACAACAUAUUUACACUGUGAUAUGGUUUAGAUCUGUAUGCCAAAGCUGAAUCUCAUGUCAGAUUGUAAUCUCCAAUGUUGGAGAUGGGGCCUAGGAGGAGGUGAUUGGAUUGGAUCAUGGGGGCGGAUUUCCUCCUUUGGUGCUAUUCUGGUGAUGGAGUUCUCACUAAAUCUUGUUGUUUAAAAGUGUGUGGUACCUCCCUUCCCCAGCUUCCUCCUGUUCCAGCCAGGUAAGACAUGUCUGCUUCCCCUUUGCCUUCUGCCAUGAUUGUAAGUUUCCUGAGGCCUCCCCAGCCAUGCUUCCUGUACAGCCUGCAGAACCAUGAGCCAAUUAAACCUCUUUUCUUUAUAAAUUACCUAGUCUCAGGUAUUUCUUUAUAGCAAUGCAAGAAUGGAAUGGACUAAUACACACUGAAUGCAAAGAAAUGAAAUGGUUGUGUGUGUGUGUGUGUGUGUGUGUGUGUGUGUGUGUAUGGAAGGUAUUAGAAGGGGAUUAUACCGUAAACAUGGGUCACUUACCUUUUACUGUGUUGGAGAAUUGCUUUGCACUAUCUUCUUUUUAUUCAGUACAUGUUGCAGACUAAGUUAAAAUGUGAUCAUAUAUAUCCUGAAAAUAAUGAAAGAAUAUCAGGCUGUGAGUAGAUUUGUGAAAGGGCGUCUCCCCUGCCUGCCUCCUUGUCCUCCUUUCCGCAUUCUGUCCAUCCUCAGCCGUGCGAGGUGUCGCUGCAUGCUGCUCUGGAAGUGCUCUCACUUCCAGAAUUUCUCCGUCCAGUGGCCCAUUUCGUCAGUUUCGGUUUCCCACUUUGAAAACCGAUCAACUGGCCGGGCGCGGUGGCUCACGUCUGUAAUCCCAGCACUUUGGUAGGCCGGGAUGGGCAGAUCACGAGGUCAGGAGAUCGAGACCAUCCUGGCUAACAGGGUGAAACCCCGUCUCUACUAAAAAAUACAAAAAAUUAGCCGGGCGUGGUGGCGGGCGCCUGUAGUCCCAGCUACUCCGGAGGCUGAGGCAGGA
rnacentral:lncRNA from 1 species